UCUAACUUCUCGUGAUUAUGUGAGGUAUAGCAGCAUUGUAGCAUGCAAAUGAGCAAGCAAUAACCAUCCAAUAAUAAGAGUGCGACACAUCCUCCUAACACAGUUGACUGUCUCUAUACUGUAGAUCACGUUCGUCACUUCUCAAUUUGGCACUCGUAUGUUAUGAAGUAAUUUUUUUUUGCUCGUGUACUUUUCAGAGUUAGGCGUUUUUUAAAGUGGAAGUAUUUAUUACUGAAUUUUCGAUUAACAACAUUUUCUACACCUGCAGAUUUUGUGGACAUUUAUUUCCACUUUAUUAUUUCAUUAGCAUCAGUAACUUCCAUUCUGUCUAGUGUGAGAUAUAAUGUUGGGGUCGGGUUUGUAUUUGUGUGUUAGAAGAUGUGAUGGCUUUUGUGUGGCAGGUGGGGGAGUGGUUCAUGCAGCUUAGACCUUCUUUUGUACCAGACCAUACUCCACCCAUGUUUUGCAUUCGCUUAGGAAGAGAUUUUGCCGUUUUCUUGCAUCUACUUAAGCCUUUUGCGUAAUUUCAGGACUAGGUUUUCCAGGUAUGUUUCACUCAUCUUUGUUAUUCAUUCCCUGCUCCUUUUUAUUUUGUUUUUACUUUCUAUCAAGAUAUAUUCAUCUGUCUUCAACUCCUUUUACCACUAUUUUGGUGCAGGUAUACAUUGCUCUCUUUCCUUUGUUACGUCUUAUUACUAGGCCUAACUUUAUUCUGUAUUGCCUUUCUUUGCCUUUUCAACUCUGGAUUUCUUUUCUUCUGACUUGGGUAUCAGAUCCUCUGUCUUUUGUUUAUCUUUUUUUAGUCUUAAAUUUCCCACUUUCCUCUUGCACUCUUUACUCUUCUUCAUCAUUUUUUCCUCCAUUCAAUUUCUUUCCAUGGCAGUCUACCAUUCUCCUCAGGGGUUUUCAUUGGAUGUUUGUUCACUGAUCAUCUCUUUAGUAGCAUAUUUUUCUUCCUCGGACUUAUCCUUUCAUAUUUGAUUGAUCUGUUUCUAGAGGUUUUUUUGGGAUUUAUGGCCUCUUUACUCAAGUCCUUUUGUCUCCCUUUUAUCUGCUAUGCUUUCAUCUGCCUGUGUGAUUUUACUGGGGGUGCUCGUUUCUCAGGGAUCAUAUGUUGGAGCUGCAUGCCAAUGAUCUUCAUUAUCCUUAUUGUUUUACUGGUCUCUCCUGUGCUCCUUUUUUCCCUUCUCUCUCUGCUUUCUCCCUGCUUCCUCGUUUUUUUUCCUUGUCUCCACUUCCCUUUCCUGUGUUCCCAUCUGUCUUCCCACUGAUUGCAAAUUUCAUUACUAUCAGUCUUUGUAGUGACUUCCUAUAAGCUCAGGGUUGGUGAGUCCUGUUUCCUUAGGUUUGUGAACCUUUUCCCUCCAUUUGUGAAGUUUUGUCAAAUCGCCUUACCCUUUGUUUAUUUCCUCUCCUACUCCUUUGUUUCCUAUUCCUGUUACUUCCCUCCAUCUCCUCUUGUUUUUUGCCAACAUUCAUAGCAGUGUUAGAUAUAAUAACUUAAGGAUCUAUUGGAUGGGUUUCUCAUCCUUUUCUGGGAGCUAUUCCCAUUUUUUCAUGGUCCCCGAGGAAUCCAUAGCUAGACAUCUGUUUUUAGUCAUUUUAUGUCUCAGGCAGUUUCUCGACCUCCCUAGAUUUAUCAUGGGGACUUUUCUAACUUUACGGUGGUCUUUUGCCUCAGGUCUUGAGUUGAUUGAGGUGAGCUUCUGGAUGUUCUUUUUCUCAUUACAAUUGGGUCCAUGUGUGUCUGUCUCUUUGUAUUUCGCAUGCGUAUAUAUAAAAAUAAUAUACUGAGGUAUACAAAAUUUUUACACAAGAUGGGAAGUAAGUAUGGGACAGUCCUCUCCAAAUUUAAUCCAGAUCCAAAUUUGGAUUUUGGAACACACUUGCCUAAGCUCAAAGUGAUGAAUGUGAUCUACAGUAUAGAGGAAGUCAGCAGAGCUGUAAUGGUGUGUCACACUCCUAUUGGUGGAAGGUUAUCACAUGCUGAUUUGCAUGCUACAACAGAGCUAUAUCAUGUGAAAGUAGGUGGGAUCCUCAAGAUUAGUGGCAAGCAAAAAUUGCACAUGUAAAAGGCAGCACUAAUCAAGGAAAACUAUUAGAAUGAAUUAUGCAAGAGUUAGGAUUUUGAUUAAUGAAGAUGUUUUGGUUCACAAAUACCAUCCAAGAUAUGAGGAUGUGGAACUAUUCAGUUACAUUGGUGGAUAUCUUGGAAUUUGGCUUGGUAUCUCACUGAAAAAUGUACUGGAUGUGAUCAUUGAUAGCAGCAUUAAACUGAAUAACUGGUUCAUAAAUCUAAAAAAGGAACGAUUAUCAAAGGCUACAGUACUGAGUCAACAAGUUGUGGCUACUACAGAUAUGAUGGAAAAAUAACAUAAUUUCAAGAAAAGAUGUAGUGGAUUCUAAAUCAGUUAUUAUAUUAGUUUGUUCUACAAUUUUAUGGUAUAAAAUGCACACUUAACUAUAUACUUUUUUGUGUCAAGAAAAUAUUUGAAAUCCAAAUUGAUCCAAAUGCAGAAUAAUUAUUAUAAAGUACACCAUAUGUUAGCUUUUUGAUUUAUUUUUAACUUGAUGACAGUUAUGUUAUCAGGAUCUAAGUUUCUUAUUUUACAUUUUCACUCCUACUUUUUUGUAUGUUAAAAAGUUUAGUGUGUGCUCAAAUAUGGAUUUUUUAUUUAUUUAAAGAAAAAGCCUGUUCCCCAUGGUUGAGUACUUUCAGUAAUUAGUAUACACACACAUAUAUAUAUAUUGUUACGCCCCCGUUCGUUAGUUAAUUUUCUGUAUAAUUUCUUUCUGAAGAA
rnacentral:lncRNA from 1 species